rnacentral:lncRNA from 1 species
CUACUGAAUUUUACUCAUGAAAGAAGGCUGGAGGAGGACAUCAGUCAUUUUGUUUACAGAGGGGGAGUGGCUACCCUCUGUGCCUGCAAAGAACUUUCAUUCCCAGCAGAACACACAGGGGCAGAGAAGGGCUGAGAGCCUUUCCCUUGCCAAUCAGCCAUGCAGCCAAUGAGCAGUUGCUCACUUCAGCCUCAGAGCGAGUCUCUCAUGCCAGGUCAUCAGCCAGGCAGUGGAAAUAUCACUGUCAGGACCAGGCUUCCUGCAAUUCUUGCUCCAGCAGUUAUGAAUAGAGCAUCAGGGCUCAUUUUGGCUCAUAAAUGGAGCACAGUGAAAAUAGAAUCCACUACUGCCUAUGAGAUCUAACAAAUAUAAUGUACAAUUCUGGAGCAGAUUGUUGCUACAGCUGAGCCUGCUUUGAGUAGAAAUGCUCACAGCAUGGGCUCAAAAGGCUCAGGGCAGAGUUUGUGCUCUGAGACUGCUCCCUGCAACCACAAGGACACGCAGCACAGCCACGAGCCACAAGCAUGGCUCCACCGUCUCUGCCAGAGCAGCCAGGAGAGACACACAACUUGGGAACACGAUGAUUUGUCUCAAAAAUGUGGAAAACUGCACUGCCUAUCCCAUGCCCUCUGAGUUAUCAGAUUGCAGCCUGGUCCAUUAUCUCCCAGCAAUUUUGAAACUCUUUGUAAAUUGCAGCUCGGCACGGAGACUAUCUGGACGUCUCACCUAAUUACUUGUUGCCUUGGCGAAACUCCACUGUGACCCGGUAGCGCCGGGCGGAUGCCUGUUUGUUCUUGCCAUUAUCUCAGCUGGAACACAAGCUGAUUUACAGUUUUUCCGCAUCCUCAUUCCGACCCACCCCUUUUCCAAAUGAAGCAACACCCAAAGCAUGGGAAGGUUGUCUAUAUUUUACUGAAGGCCUCUGGAAGAAAGAAGGAAGUGGAUUCAUGCUGCUAACCACACAGCAGGAAUGUCUUUGAGAAACAUAAUGUCCUUUGUUUAAUCUUUGCACCUGAUUCUCUGGUCUAAUGAUGUCAACGAUCACAUAUCUCUUUGUCCUAUUUCUUUUAUUUAUUUAUGUUUUGUCCUGUUGGCCAGUUCAGCUACUAUGCUUACAAUAUUCAGUGCCGCAUACUGAAUACCCAGAUCUCAU